UUUAUGGAGAGUUUGAUCCUGGCUCAGGACGAACGCUGGCGGCGUGCCUAAUACAUGCAAGUCGAGCGAAUU
rnacentral:rRNA from 1 species